rnacentral:rRNA from 1 species
UACGUAGGGGGCGAGCGUUGUCCGGAUUUAUUGGGCGUAAAGAGCGUGUAGGCGGCCAGGUAGGUCUGCUGUGAAAACUCGAGGCUUAACCUCGAGCUGUCGGCGGAAACCAUCUGGCUAGAGUGCAGAAGGGGCAACUGGAAUUCUCGGUGUAGCGGUGAAAUGCGUAGAUAUCGAGAGGAACACCUGCGGCGAAGGCGGGUUGCUGGGCUGACACUGACGCUGAGGCGCGAGACCAGGGAGGCGAACGGGAUUAGA